CGGCGCUCGGGGAGCGAGCGCGGCGCCUUCCGCCGAGGGCGGCAGCGCACAGGUGGGAGCCCGAGCCGCGCCGCGUCGCCGUCGUCUCGCCCGCUGCCGGGAUGCUCGCCGCGGGGACCCGCUGGCCGCGCGCGCUCGCAGGCCUCGAGAGCCUGUUCCCGAACCCCGGCCAUCGUCACCUUGGCGGUCUUGGCCCUGAGCAUCGUGGUGCUCAUGACGAUCACACUGGUCCAGACCCACCACUCCGAGCUCAUCCCUCCCAGGGCUGAAGGUGAGCGGGAAAGAGCUGGCAUGGAGGAUGGGUGCUGCAGCAUCGGCUCCUCUCCAGCCAUGAGCCGGAAGACAGGAACAUUCUUUCCCUGCCUGCCUCUGGAGCGGGAGGAAGUGGCAUAGGCACAGGUGAAGCCAGGAUCGUGCUGGGUGGUGACGUCAGGGGUCACCAAUGGGGGGGGGACCUUCUCCGAGGACUGCGUGGUCUUGCUUUGACUUCUGGCUGUAGCCAAAGACAUAGCUGGUAGCCAAGACCUGCAGGUGGCUACCAAAGGCUUGCCAGUUGGUUGGUUUUGACCUGCCUGUCCCUUCCUGGAGAGCCCUGACCGUGAGCAAAGACCAGGAGGCCCAGGCCCCUCUUCCAGCCCAGCCUGGUGGACAGAGGCGAGGUCUUGUGAAGGUCUCGUGGGUUGCACUAGUGCCCCUCUCUCGGGUCCAGUCCAUGUCCCGGGACCCUCCAAUGCCUUCCCUGCAGAACCUUCUCAGUCCUUGUGCUUGGUCCCGGUUAGGUCCGUCCCCAGCAGGCCCAGGAGAGGGUUCCUGGUGGCUGCGAACCCUGCAUCUUCCUGCUCAGCUCCAAGGACGCCCUGGGGUGGGGGGAGGUCCCCGAGGGGCUCUGAGACAGCUGUGAAGACAGCGAGCCCUUCAGCAUUUUGGGACGCUGAAGGCUUUUGCUGUGGCGGCCCCAGCACUGCAUGCUUAGGCUCUGGGGCUGCUGUGGCUUUGCUGUGUACUGUCCUUUGGUUUCUGACUCAGUGACGAUGUGGAAAGCCUUCUCAGCUGGGGAGGCCACAGGAGCCAGGAACUCGCUUCGUCAUUUGAACCUCAGUUGGCUUUGACACUGGACCAGGCAGUCCUCACCCUGCCUUCCAGGGCUGGCAACGGUUCAAAGGCUACAGUUGAAAUAGAAGUUUCUCAGAGAUAAACUAAGAUUGCUGUGGGCUCAAUCGAACCUUCCAUGGCCAUUUUCCCGAAGAGUGAAAUCUCCUCUGGAGAAUAGCAUUUCGCUCUUAAGAACCUCAGCCUUCACGAAUAAUGUGGAAAAAUAAAUCCUGUGAAACUGUCCAACACAAG
rnacentral:lncRNA from 1 species